rnacentral:lncRNA from 1 species
AGCAUGGAUCAUGAAGAGAUUUAACUCAACUAUGAUCCAUCAAGUAUUUCACUUUCAUCCUAAUUAAGAGACUCUUCCUUUCUCUACUUCUCUUGUGUUACCCAAGUAUGGGCUAUGAAGGGAUUCUGACUCAACUAUAACCCAUCAAAGUUUCUAUAAGGAAAGAGAAGAAAGGAUUUAGAAAUUUGUGAGUCUUCUACCAAUAAUUUUCUCUUGCACC